rnacentral:rRNA from 1 species
CCUACGGGAGGCAGCAGUGAGGAAUAUUGGUCAAUGGCCGUAAGGCUGAACCAGCCAAGUCGCGUGAAGGAAGAAGGAUCUAUGGUUUGUAAACUUCUUUUAUAGGGGAAUAAAGGUAUCCACGUGUGGAUAUUUGCAUGUACCCUAUGAAUAAGCAUCGGCUAACUCCGUGCCAGCAGCCGCGGUAAUACGGAGGAUGCGAGCGUUAUCCGGAUUUAUUGGGUUUAAAGGGUGCGUAGGUUGUUUUUUAAGUCAGCGGUGAAAGUUUGUGGCUCAACCAUAAAAUUGCCGUUGAAACUGGAAGACGUGAGUGUGUUUGAGGUAGGCGGAAUGCGUGGUGUAGCGGUGAAAUGCAUAGAUAUCACGCAGAACUCCGAUUGCGAAGGCAGCUUACUAAGCCAUAACUGACACUGAAGCACGAAAGCGUGGGGAUCAAACAGGAUUAGAUACCCCUGUAGUG